rnacentral:lncRNA from 1 species
UUUUUUUUUUAGUAAGUUGAGUAAGACGAACCAUAGGCUCCAUUUUCAAGUGUAUCGGGCUAUCUUAAGCCCAUUGAUCUACGUUCAAGAAAGAGUACAGUACUUCUGGGAGAUGAUUCAUUAACAAACAUUUAUUCACAGGGCGCUCGAACUGCCUUUCCUUCAUAUCCCCCCGCCUAAUAUACUUCUUUCCAUCUUACUG